rnacentral:pre_miRNA from 1 species
AUUACAAUGGCACUGGGAUGGAUGGUAGAGUGGAUUCCUACCAUCCUCGUAGUGUGGUUCAAACCC